rnacentral:tRNA from 3 species
GGGCGGUUAGCUCAGUGGUUUAGAGCGCUGCGUUGACAUCGCAGAGGUCAUAAGUUCGACUCUUAUACCGCCCACCA